rnacentral:lncRNA from 13 species
GAAUUUGUAGAAGGAAUUUGCAGAAGGCUCCUGCCACCUCUCUGAAGGGCGGGUGGUGAGAGCAGCCAGAUUCCAUCUCAAUGAAGAGUUGCAGCCUGGUGUCACGUUAGGUAAAGAGCAGUACCUGCCUCAGGGAAAGACUCCCCUAGAAGCAGGGAUUGUGCAGACCCAUCUCCACAUGCCUUGGGCAGCGCUGCUUCGGAAGCUUUCCUUGCUGUCAGUGCUGGAGUAGGAAAGCUGGUAAGCUGUGAGGAAAUAGGGCAUGUCUGAAACUGAGGAAUUCCACGGGAAAUUUACAAUAUUAUGUUAAAGGGGAAAAAAAAAAGCCAAGAGGGAGGAAGAAAAACCUGAUACAAUGAAUGCUUGGGUCAUGUAUUUUUCUGGAUUAGCUGUGCCACGGAAGGAGCCCAUAGACCCUAUGAAAUCCAUUCCCUGCAAGCCAGCGAACAUUUGUACAGCACAUGAUGUGGGAUCAUGGCUGAAGCCAAGUUCCCCAGGAUCAUAUCCACCCGGGAUAGAUUGGGUCAUUUCCAGUGUCAACAGCCAGAGGAUUAAGCAUUUAUCUCUGCAGAACAGGAUAAUUAAUACCAGAUCGAACUCGGGGCUGUGCUCUGAGCCCGUGGCUGAAUUUGUGCCCGAGUUGUGGGGAGUGGGAGGAUGUCCUGGGUGCUGCAAGAUGCAGGCAUUGCCUCGAGAUCCACGGGAAUGGCACUGGGAUGGCAUCAGGCUUCCCAGGUGAAGCUGAGGGGGAGCUCUGCUGUCGUGGCCACACGAGGCAGUGUCAGAGCAUCAAGAGAGAGAAGCUCCCGCUGGGAAGAUGUUGCAGAUCCUGCAGUCAUCCUGCUCUGCAACCUCUCUUGUUUGGGCUCAUUAACUUCUGCUGCUCAGGAGAUAUGGACAAAACCACAAGUGAGUGGCUCAGCUUCGAUAUCCAACCCAUCCACAUCCCACAGGGAUCCCAGCUGGUGCAUUUGCUGUACAAGGAUCUUCACAGGGAGAGGAAUUUGCCGAGCCCUGAGCAGUGGCUUCUGUUCCUGCUGUGGUUGGAUCCCCUCUCGGAUGUCUCGGAGCUUCUCCGUGAGUUUCGGAAGCAGAAACGCGUUUUCUUAUUGGGCACUGAAGGUGCUGCUGGAAUUGUUCAGCACGUGACACAAAGUACCACCAGAUACCUCUGAAAGUUCAAACCUAGGGAAAAGUGGGAUAGGGACAGGGAUAGGGACAGGGACAGGGAUAGGGAUAGGGAUAGGGAUGGGGAUAGGGUAGGGGUAGGGUUACGGUGGGGAUGGGGAUAGGGUGGUUAGUGAUGCUCUCAGCACACGGCGCUCCUGGGAAGCGUGCAAAGGGAUGGAGACAGUCGUGUGCUGGGAAGCAGCUCCUGUCUCAUGUCCUGCGACUUGAGGAUUUCACUUGGGACAUUUCUGCUUCAGUCCCUGUCUCUCAGGCACAUGGUUGGGUUUUUGGAACUCUCCUGUGCAGGGCCAAGAUCUGAGCUCGAUGAUCCUUAUGGGUCCCUUGCAGCUCAGG